CCUACGGGUGGCUGCAGUCGAGGAUCUUCGGCAAUGGGCGCAAGCCUGACCGAGCGACGCCGCGUGCGCGAUGAAGGCCUUCGGGUUGUAAAGCGCUGUCGGGAGGGAGAAAAGGGGCAACCCUUGAUCGACCUCCGGAGGAAGCACGGGCUAAGUUCGUGCCAGCAGCCGCGGUAAGACGAACCGUGCGAACGUUGUUCGGAAUCACUGGGCUUAAAGGGCGCGUAGGCGGGCUCGCAAGUCCGGGGUGAAAGCCCCCAGCUCAACUGGGGAAG
rnacentral:rRNA from 1 species